GGAUGUAGUUCAGUGGUAGAUCAUUUGCCUAUAUGUAUAGGCCCUGGGUUCAAAUCCCAGCACCA
rnacentral:tRNA from 1 species